UACGAAGGUGGCAAGCGUUGUUCGGAUUUACUGGGCGUACAGGGAGCGUAGGCGGUUGGAUAAGCCCUCCGUGAAAUCUCCAGGCUUAACCUGGAAAGUGCAGAGGGGACUGUUCAGCUAGAGGAUGGGAGAGGAGCGCGGAAUUCCCGGUGUAGCGGUGAAAUGCGUAGAGAUCGGGAGGAAUACCAGAGGCGAAGGCGGCCAACUGGGCUUGUUCUGACGCUGAGGUGCGAAAGCGUGGGGAGCGAACAGG
rnacentral:rRNA from 1 species